rnacentral:misc_RNA from 1 species
GUGAGUCAUCGAAUCUUUGAACGCACAUUGCGCCCUUUGGUAUUCCGAAGGGCAUGCCUGUUCGAGCGUCAUUAUCACCCCUCAAGCCCUGUGCUUGGUGUUGGACGGCUGGUCGAGCGAUCGACCCCUCCUAAAGACAAUGACGGCGGCCUGUGGUUCCCCCGGUACACUGAGCUUUUAACUGAGCACGUAUCGGACAAGGGCACCCGGGACCCGGUCCUCUCCUUUAGCUAGGAAACUUCUAAGGUUGACCUCGGAUCAGGUAGGAAUACGCGCUGAACUUAAGCAUAUCAAUAAGCGGAGGA